rnacentral:rRNA from 1 species
GAUAACGGUUAGAAAUGACCGCUAAUACCGCGUAAGCGCACGAGGCCGCAUGGCCCCGGGCGAAAAACUCCGGUGGUAUGGGAUGGGCCCGCGUCUGAUUAGCUGGUUGGCGGGGUAAAGGCCCACCAAGGCGACGAUCAGUAGCCGACCUGAGAGGGUGGCCGGCCACAUUGGGACUGAGACACGGCCCAAACUCCUACGGGAGGCAGCAGUGGGGAAUAUUGCGCAAUGGGGGAAACCCUGACGCAGCAACGCCGCGUGAGUGAGGAAGUAUCUCGGUAUGUAAAGCUCUAUCAGCGGGGAAGAAGGAAGACGGUACCCGACUAAGAAGCCCCGGCUAACUACGUGCCAGCAGCCGCGGUAAUACGUAGGGGGCGAGCGUUAUCCGGAUUUACUGGGUGUAAAGGGAGCGUAGACGGCAGCGCAAGUCUGGAGUGAAAUGCCGGGGCCCAACCCCGGAACUGCUUUGGAAACUGUGCGGCUCGAGUGCGGGAGAGGUAGGCGGAAUUCCUAGUGUAGCGGUGAAAUGCGUAGAUAUUAGGAGGAACACCAGUGGCGAAGGCGGCUUACUGGACCGUAACUGACGUUGAGGCUCGAAAGCGUGGGGAGCAACAGGAUUAGAUACCCUGGUAGUCCACGCCGUAAACGAUGAUUACUAGGUGU